AAAUUUUUUAACCAUUGGGCACCUUCCACCAUGCAAAUUUGACCGUUGGAGGAGGGGUCCACCUCCGAAAACCACCCUAUAAAUGCACCUAAUCCCCACUUCUCUCCUCAUUUACCACAUAUCCUUCAUACUUCUUCAUCUCCACCUUUCUUUCUGUCAAAAAUACCUAACACUUCCAUAAUUCUCACUCAAAAGCUACCUCCUUUCACCGCAAAUCUCCGUCGAUUCUCCAUCCGUCUUCAUAAAAGUUUCACCAUUCUCCACCCUCAACACUCCUACG
rnacentral:lncRNA from 1 species